rnacentral:rRNA from 1 species
UACAGAGGUCUCAAGCGUUGUUCGGAUUCAUUGGGCGUAAAGGGUGCGUAGGUGGCAUGGUAAGUCGGAUGUGAAAUCCCGGGGCUCAACCCCGGAACUGCAUUCGAUACUGCUGCGCUAGAGUACUGGAGAGGAGAUUGGAAUUUACGGUGUAGCAGUGAAAUGCGUAGAUAUCAGGAGGAACAUCCGUGGCGAAGGCGGCCACCUGGACCAGUACUGACACUGAGGCACGAAAGCGUGGGGAGCAAACAGG